UACUGUGUACGUUUGAAAAUAUUCACUGAUGGAAAAUAUGAAGAGGCAAUUUGCCUCUAUUCUAAAACUUGGAUUUGAAUAAAAUGAGUUCCUCAAAUUUGUACAUCACCAGUCCUUUACAGUUCUACUUACUGUAGUAUCUCCUGGACUACUACUGUACCACAGAAAAUAUAAUACUUUUACUGUAUAGUUUUGGAGUAAUACAUUGGUAAAGUAUCAUACUGUACGUUGAAUUGACAUCAAUAGCUGAAAUUUGACCUUCCAUAAAACUACUUCAACGACUACUGAUGUUUUAUUGAUGUAUUCAUUUCAUGGAAAGUCAAAGUUCAGCUACUGAUGUCAAUUUAACGUAUAGUACGAUAUUUUAUUGAUGGAUUCCUCCAAAACUAUACAGUACAAGUAUUUGAUAUUUGCUGUGGUAGUCGUCCAUGAAAUACUAAGUUGAACUGUAAAGGAACGGUGAUGUACCAAUUUGAGAAACAGGAGUUAUUGAAGGUCAAAUUUCAGCUAUUGAUGUCAAUUCAGCUUACUGUAUGAUAAUUUGUUUAUGUAUUGCUCUUCUCAGUGAUCGCAACACUGUUACCGUAACUAUCGCAUGAGUCGUGCUCCUCGAAAAUAGGUAGACGCUCUUACUGCAAGACAGCGAGUGUAGUGGUACAGGUACACAGACGAGAAAGCCAGAUUUAAAAUCAAAAAAGUGAAGAAAUGACCAACAUCGAAAAAGAAGCAGCAUCUGGUUGCAUUAUAAAUGAAAACGUGAGUGCAGACUUUGUAAAAUGAAAAUAUCUGUCAGAGCAGGGUUAACAACCAACCUGCACAGACACCUAAGAACCUAAGAGCUAAAGGAGAGAGGGCAAGCGAGAUUGCCAUCAGCUAACCAUGGAGAAGUGUUGCAGUUCUGAGCCAAGUAUCAUUGGACUCAUUGGUGUCUGUGAUGGGCAGCUGCGGAUCCAACUAUCCUGCCUGUAUCCAGUCCCUGGUCCAACCAUCCUGCCUGUGCUCUGUUGUUGCUUGUUGUUGCUUGUUGUUGUUGUUGCUGUGCUUUUCUCUCUCUCUCUCCCCUCACCCCAACCGGUCGAGGCAGAUGGCCGCCCACAUCCAGUCUGGUUCUGCUGGACGUUUCUUCCUCGUUAGAGGGAGUUUUUCCUCUCCACUGUUGCUGUCAAAUUAAAUGCUUGCUGUAUGUGGGAUUUGUUGGGUUAAGUUGUGUAAGCUCUUAACCCUUACUUUGUAAAGUGCCUUGAGAUAACUUUGUUGUGAUUUGAAACUAUAUAAAUAAAAAAAAUUGAAUUGAAUAUUUAAGCA
rnacentral:lncRNA from 1 species